rnacentral:misc_RNA from 1 species
AACGCAUAUGGCACCUCUUGGUUCCUACUAAGAGGUAUGCCUGUUUGAGAAUCAUUCAUCCCUUUGAUCCACUGGGUCAGACAUGGUUGCUGAUCCGUGUUGGUCAAGACAUGGACCUUCAUCACUGAUCGUCUUGAAUUCAGGCGCGGGUUGUUCGUGAGAGUGGAAGCUAUUUCUAUUGAUCGAACAAUCUGCUCAUCUCAUCACUUCAAUGAUCUCAAAUCAGGCAAGACUACCCGCUGAACUUAA